rnacentral:piRNA from 1 species
UUUCUUCAGCUUUUUGGUUUC